UUCCUCUCCUUUUCUUCUCGUCGGUCCCUUCGACUGCUUCUCCACCGUGGAAUGCUUGGCUGCUCGUGCUUUUCACCGCCAUUACAGAGAGAAAAGGAUUCGGAAAGCAAAGUAGCAAAUUCAGAAUGGGUUCAUGGCCAUUCCGAAUCCAUUAGUCUAAUUGCUCAUUAUCUGCAGGUAUAUAGUAGUGAGCAUAAAAACAAGUGGGAUCGAAAUCCCUUGUAACGGUAAGGCCUUAUUAACUUGGCUAAUCGUUUCUAUCUUUAAACCCUAUUUCCAUUCUCUAUUUAUUUACUUUGUUGGAUUCUAUCUACAUUAAUCAUAAGCGAAGUCUUGAUUUCUGACUCAAAAGUUAAUAAAGUUAUUUUCCGAUAGAACUUAUUUGAAGAUAUGAUCUUUCAAGAUUCAAGCACAGGUAUGAGAUUGUGGCUUCUGUGUAAGCCUACUUUUGGAUGAGAAUAGAAGCAGAGUGAAAGCAAUUUCUUGAUAAAAAAUUAAUCUGAUUAAGAUUAUGGUGCAUACCGGAAGAAGGCUAGAUUUUGAGUCCAAGAUGGACAUGAGUAUGACUAUUAAGGUUUAAUACAUGAGCAAAUCAAUAAAGCCAGAGUGAAAUUACUGCGGAAAUCUAAGAGUAAUUAUACAGUACUUUCUUGCAUUUCACUGUUAAUACUCUCUUUACUUUCUGGUUCUUUUAUUUAUUCUCUCCUUGGGAAAUUUUUGAAGUAUUACAAAAUCUAUCACAUAGCUUUUGAAGAGAUAAAGC
rnacentral:lncRNA from 1 species